rnacentral:tRNA from 1 species
GCCGAUGUAGCUCAGUUGGCUAGAGCAGCUGAUUUGUAAUCAGCAGGUCGUGGGUUCGAGCCCCUCCAUCGGCUCAA